AAAUGCGAUAAGUAAUGUGAAUUGCAGAAUUCAGUGAAUCAUCGAAUCUUUGAACGCACCUUGCGCUCCUUGGUAUUCCUUGGAGCAUGCCUGUUUGAGUAUCAUGAAAUCUUCAAAGUAAAUCUUUUGUUAACUCAAUUGGUUUCUACUUUGGUAUUGGAGGUCUUUGCAGCUUCACACCUGCUCCUCUUUGUUCAUUAGCUGGAUCUCAGUGUUAUGCUUGGUUCCACUUGGCGUGAUAAGUUAUCUAUCGCUGAGGACACUGUAAAAGGUGGCCAAGGUAAAUGCAGAUGAACCGCUUCUAAUAGUCCAUUGACUUGGACAAUACUUUUAUGAUCUGAUCUCAAAUCAGGUAGGACUACCCGCUGAACUUAAGC
rnacentral:misc_RNA from 1 species